rnacentral:ncRNA from 1 species
AUCAAGGCCAGGAAUGGAAAGAGUACCCUGAUGGAGUUGUCUCAGCGAGCCGGCGGCAGGUGGAAGGUCCGGCACAACGGAUUCAGGCGAAUGGCUCCAUUCGCUUCGGCCCGAACGCGCAAGCCGCAAGGCACCGCCAGUAGGCUCCGACGGGAGGUCCCGCCGUUAUCACGGGAAUCAUGUUAGCCGUUUUGACAUGACAAGAGCAGCGGCGCUUGGCCGAAUUCGGGUGGUAUCGCGGAGUUUAUACACUUCGUCCCUUUC